GAUGAACGCUAGCGGCAGGCCUAAUACAUGCAAGCUGAACGGCAAGAUUUGUAGCAAUACGAGUCCUAGAGUAGCGUAAGGGUGCGUAACACGUAUGCAAUCUGCCCGCAACAGGAGGAUAGCUUAGCGAAAGUUGAGAUAAGACUCCAUAAGAUCACGAGAGGGCAUCUGAUUGUGAUUAAACUACAAGGGGUUGCGGAUGAGCAUGCGUCUGAUUAGUUAGUUGGCGGGGUAACGCCCACAAGACGAUGAUCAGUAGGGGAACUGAGAGGUU
rnacentral:rRNA from 1 species